UGCCCGGAGGCGGAAUCGAACCACCGACACGAGGAUUUUCAAUCCUCUGCUCUACCGACUGAGCUAUCCGGGC
rnacentral:tRNA from 2 species